GGAAUUUUCCGCAAUGGGCGAAAGUCUGACGGAGCGACGCUGCGUGAAGGAUGACGGCCUGCGGGUUGUAAACUUCUUUUCUCGAAGAAGAAGCUCUGACGGUAUUCGAGGAAUAAGCAUCGGCUAACUCCGUGCCAGCAGCCGCGGUAAUACGGAGGAUGCAAGUGUUAUUCGGAAUGAUUGGGCGUAGAGCGUCUGUAGGCUGUAUAGAAAGUCUUUUGUUAAAUGCCUCGGCUCAACCGAGAUCCAGCAAAGGAAACUUCUAUACUUGAGGGAAGUAGAGGUACAGGGAAUUCCCGGUGGAGCGGUGAAAUGCGUAGAUAUCGGGAGGAACACCAAUAUGGCGAAGGCACUGUACUGGGCUUUACCUGACGCUCAGAGACGAAAGCUAAAGGAGUGAUUAGGAUUAGAUACCCCAGUAGUC
rnacentral:rRNA from 1 species